CCCUACGGGGGGCAGCAGUGAGGAAUAUUGGUCAAUGGUCGGGAGACUGAACCAGCCAAGCCGCGUGAGGGAGGAAGGUACAGAGUAUCGUAAACCUCUUUUGUCAGGGAACAAAGGCGGGGACGUGUCCCCGGAUGAGUGUACCUGAAGAAAAAGCAUCGGCUAACUCCGUGCCAGCAGCCGCGGUAAUACGGAGGAUGCGAGCGUUAUCCGGAUUUAUUGGGUUUAAAGGGGGCGCAGGCGGUCUGUUAAGUCAGCGGUCAACUCCCGGGGCUCAACCCCGGCCCGCCGUUGAAACUGGCAGU
rnacentral:rRNA from 1 species